rnacentral:rRNA from 1 species
UACGGGGGGAGCAAGCGUUGUUCGGAUUUACUGGGCGUAAAGGGCGCGUAGGCGGCCGGCACAAGUCAGUUGUGAAAUCUCCGAGCUUAACUCGGAAAGGUCAACUGAUACUGUGCGGCUAGAGUGCGGAAGGGGCAACUGGAAUUCUCGGUGUAGCGGUGAAAUGCGUAGAUAUCGAGAGGAACACCUGCGGCGAAGGCGGGUUGCUGGGCUGACACUGACGCUGAUGCGCGAAAGCCAGGGGAGCGAACGGG